rnacentral:rRNA from 1 species
CGCUGGCGGCGUGCCUAACACAUGCAAGUCGAACGAGAUCCAUGGGAGCUUGCUCCGGAAGAUCUAGUGGCGAACGGGUGAGUAACACGUGAGAAACCUGCCCUGGAGUGGGGAAUAACUCGGGGAAACUCGAGCUAAUACCGCAUACCCUCGGAUGGUCGCAUGGCCGACCGAGGAAAGAUUUAUCGCUCUAGGAGGGUCUCGCGGCCUAUCAGCUAGUUGGUGGGUAACGGCCUACCAAGGCAACGACGGGUAGCUGGUUUGAGAGAACGAUCAGCCACACUGGGACUGAGACACGGCCCAGACUCCUACGGGAGGCAGCAGUGGGGAAUCUUGCGCAAUGGGCGAAAGCCUGACGCAGCAACGCCGCGCGCGGGAUGACGGCCUUCGUGGUUGUAAACCGCUUUCAGCAGGGACGAAAAUGACGGUACCUGCAGAAGAAGCCCCGGCUAACUACGUG